rnacentral:rRNA from 1 species
GGACUACUGGGGUUUCUAAUCCGUUUUGCUCCCCACGCUUUCGUGCCUCAAUGUCAGUAGCAGAAUAGUUAACUGCCUUCGCCGUUAUUGGUGUUCAUCCAUAUAUCUCUGCAUUUUACCGCUCCACAUGGAGUUCCGUUAACCUCUCCUGCACUCGAGCCGGGCAGUAUUACCAGUUUCCACGAGGUUGGGCCUCGAUUUUCCACUGCCAACUUGCUCGGCCAUCUACGCACCCUUUACGCCCAAUAAUUCCGGAUAACGUUCGCCACCUACGUCUUACCGCGGCUGCUGGCAC